rnacentral:rRNA from 1 species
GUCCUCUUGAUUAUAUUUUGAGGUCUGGUCUGCUCACUGACGAAGUUUUAAAGAGCCGCGGUAUUUUGACCGUGCAAAGGUAGCAUAAUCAUUAGUCUCUUAAUUAGGGGCUAGAAUGAAUGGCUUGACGAGAAAUCAUCUGUCUCUUAUUAAAUUAUAGAAUUUAACUUUUAAGUUAAAAGGCUUAAAUUUUUCUUAAAGACGAGAAGACCCUAUAGAGCUUAAUAUUUUAUUUUUAUAUAAUUUUUAGUUAAUCUUUUUAUAUUUAAAGUUAAUAUUUUGUUGGGGUGACAUGAAGAAUAAAUAAACUCUUCUUUCUAAAAUCAUUGAUUUAUGUUUAAUUUGAUGCAUAAUUUAUGAUCAUAAGAUUAAGUUACCUUAGGGAUAACAGCGUAAUUGUUUUUGAGAGCUCAUAUUGACAAAGCAGAUUGCGACCUCGAUGUUGGAUUAAGAAUAAUUUUGGGUGCAGGAGCCCAGUAAUUAGGUCUGUUCGACCUUUAAAUUCUU